rnacentral:rRNA from 1 species
AUUGAACGCUGGCGGCAGGCUUAACACAUGCAAGUCGAACGAGUGGCGGACGGGUUAGUAAUGCAUGGGAAUCUGGCUUAUGGAGGGGGAUAACUACUGGAAACUGUAGCUAAUACCGCGUACCAUAGGAUGAGCCCAGGUGGGAUUGGGUAGUUGGUGGGGUAAAGGCUCACCAAGCCGACGAUCGCUAGCUGGUUUGAGAGGAUGACCAGCCACACGGGGACUGAGAAACGGCCCAGACUCCUACGGGAGGCAGCAGUGGGGAAUAUUGCGCAAUGGGGGCAACCUGAUGCAGCCAUGCCGCGUGAAUGAAGAAGGCCUUCGGGUUGUAAAGUACUUUCGGUAGAGAGGCGUUAUCUGCAGAAGAAGCACCGGCUAACUCCGUGCCAGCCGCCGCGGUAAUUC